GAUCCUGGCUCAGGAUGAACGCUAGCUACAGGCUUUAACACAUGCAAGUCGCGGGGCAGCAUUUUUCUUAGCUUGCUAAGGAAGAUGGCGACCGGCGCACGGGUGAGUAACGCGUAUCCAACCUUCCCAUGUCCACGGGAUAGCCCGUCGAAAGGCGGAUUAAUACCGUAUGAGGUCACACGAUGGCAUCAGACUGUGACGAAAGGUUUGGCGGACAGGGAUGGGGAUGCGUCCGAUUAGCUUGUUGGCGGGGUAACGGCCCACCAAGGCAACGAUCAGUAGGGGUUCUGAGAGGAAGGUCCCCCACAUUGGAACUGAGACACGGUCCAAACUCCUACGGGAGGCAGCAGUGAGGAAUAUUGGUCAAUGGGCGAGAGCCUGAACCAGCCAAGUAGCGUGCAGGAAGACGGCCCUAUGGGUUGUAAACUGCUUUUAUAGGGGAAUAAAGUGAGCCACGUGUGGUUUUUGCAUGUACCCUAUGAAUAAGGACCGGCUAAUUCCGUG
rnacentral:rRNA from 1 species